GAUGAACGCUGGCGGCGUGCCUAAUACAUGCAAGUCGAGCGAACGGACGAGAAGCUUGCUUCUCUGAUGUUAGCGGCGGACGGGUGAGUAACACGUGGAUAACCUACCUAUAAGACUGGGAUCACUUCGGGAAACCGGAGCUAAUACCGGAUAAUAUUUUGAACCGCAUGGUUCAAAAGUGAAAGACGGUCUUGCUGUCACUUAUAGAUGCAUCCGCGCUGCUUUAGCUAGUUGGUAAGUUAACGGCUUACCAAGGCAACGAUGCAUAGCCGACCUGAGAGGGUGAUCGGCCACACUGGAGCGGGGACACGGUCCAUACUCCUACGGGAGGCAGCAGUAGGGAAUCUUACGCAAUGGGCGAAAGCCUGACGGAGCAACGCCGCGUGAGAGAUGAAGGUCUUCGGAUCGUAAAACUCUGUUAUUAGGGAAGAACAGAUGUGUAAGUAACUGUGCACAUCUUGACGGUACCUAAUCAGAAAGCCACGGCUAACUACGUG
rnacentral:rRNA from 1 species